AACGAACGCUGGCGGCAGGCCUAACACAUGCAAGUCGAACGCUCCAGCAAUGGAGAGUGGCAGACGGGUGAGUAACGCGUGGGAACCUACCCUUUGGUUCGGAAUAGCCCAGGGAAACUUGGGGUAAUACCGGAUAAGCCCUUCGGGGGAAAGAUUUAUCGCCAAUGGAUGGGCCCGCGUCGGAUUAGCUAGUUGGUGGGGUAACGGCCCACCAAGGCGACGAUCCGUAGCUGGUCUGAGAGGAUGAUCAGCCACACUGGGACUGAGACACGGCCCAGACUCCUACGGGAGGCAGCAGUGGGGAGUAUUGGACAAUGGGCGCAAGCCUGAUCCAGCCAUGCCGCGUGAGUGACGAAGGUCUUCGGAUUGUAAAGCUCUUUUGGCGGGGACGAUAAUGACGGUACCCGCAGAAUAAGCCCCGGCUAACUUCGUGCCAGCCGCCGCCGUAA
rnacentral:rRNA from 1 species